rnacentral:rRNA from 1 species
AGGGAUUCCCUCAGUAAGGGCGACUGAAAUGGGAAGAGCCCAGCGCAUAAGCUCGCUUUGCCUUUUACCGGGCGCGAGCGGUGUUGCGUUUCGGAGGGUCCGGCACGCCGCCUUACGACGCCUAAGUCAUGUUUGAAAGCGGCCACUACCCAUUGAGGGUGAAAGGCCCGUCUGGCGGAGCCCGUGAGGGCAGAAGUGAGGCGGUCGGAAAGGACCUAUCCGUAGAGUCGGGUUGCUUGAAAGUGCAGCCCAAAGGAGGUGGUAAACUCCAUCUAAGGCUAAAUAUGACCACGAGA